UACGGGGGGGGCAAGCGUUGUUCGGAAUUACUGGGCGUAAAGGGUUCGUAGGUGGCCUACUAAGUCAUACGUGAAAUCCCUCAGCUUAACUGGGGAACUGCGUCUGAGACUGGAAGGCUUGAGUGCAGGAGAGGAACGCGGAAUUCCAGGUGUAGCGGUGAAAUGCGCAGAUAUCAGGAAGAACCCCAAUGGCGAAAGCAGCUUUCUGGGACGGUACUGACGCUGAGACGCGAAAGCGUGGGGAGCGAACAGG
rnacentral:rRNA from 1 species